rfam:TPA: Bos taurus chromosome 5, whole genome shotgun sequence.
UCCCCUAUGGCUUAGCUGGUAAAGAAUCUGCCUGCAAUGCAGGAGAACCGGGUUCAAUCCCUGGGUUGGGAA